GCCCUAGUAGCUUAGCUUAAAAGCAUCGGUCUUGUAAACCGAAGAUCGGAGGUUAGACCCCUCCCUAGCGCC
rnacentral:tRNA from 2 species